rfam:Beauveria bassiana D1-5 contig00695, whole genome shotgun sequence.
UCCCCUGUAGCUCAGUUGGCUAGAGCGUCAGACUGUUAAUCUGAAGGUCGCAAGUUCAAACCUUGCCGGGGGAG